GACGGAGGGGGCUAGCGUUGUUCGGAAUUACUGGGCGUAAAGCGCACGUAGGCGGCCUUUCAAGUCGGACGUGAAAGCCCCGGGCUUAACCCGGGAAUUGCGUUUGAUACUGUUGGGCUUGAGACCGGGAGAGGAUAGCGGAAUUCCCAGUGUAGAGGUGAAAUUCGUAGAUAUUGGGAAGAACACCAGUGGCGAAGGCGGCUAUCUGGACCAGUACUGACGCUGAGGUGCGAAAGCGUGGGGAGCAAACAGG
rnacentral:rRNA from 1 species